rnacentral:rRNA from 1 species
GUAGGCGAGCGUUGUCCGAAUGACUGGGCGUAAAGGGCGCGUAAGACGGUUGUCUAAGUCUGGAGUGAAAGUCCUGCUUUCAAGGUGGGAAUUGCUUUGGAGACUGGAUGACUUGAGUGCGGAAGAGGUAAGUGGAAUUCCCAGUGUAGCGGUGAAAUGCGUAGAGAUUGGGAAGAACACCAGUGGCGAAGGCGACUUACUGGGCCGUAACUGACGUUGAUGCGCGAAAGCGUGGGGAGCGAACAGGAUUAGAUACCCUGGUAGUCCACGCGGUAAACGAUGAGUGCUAGGUGUAGCGGGUAUCGACCCCUGCUGUGCCGGAGUUAACACAAUAAGCACUCCGCCUGGGGAGUACGGCCGCAAGGUUGAAACUCAAAGGAAUUGACGGGGGCCCGCACAAGCAGCGGAGCAUGUGGUUUAAUUCGAAGCAACGCGAAGAACCUUACCAGGUCUUGACAUCGAGGCAAAGCGGUAGAGAUACCGUGUUCAGCAAUGAAGCCGAAGACAGGUGGUGCAUGGUUGUCGUCAGCUCGUGUCGUGAGAUGUUGGGUUAAGUCCCGCAACGAGCGCAACCCUUAUUGUCAGUUACUAACGGGUAGAGCCCGAGGACUCUGACGAGACUGCCGGGGACAACUCGGAGGAAGGUGGGGACGACGUCAAAUCAUCAUGCCCCUUAUGACCUGGGCUACACACGUGCUACAAUGGUGGUAACAAAGAGUCGCGAGCUCGUAAGGGGGAGCGAAUCUCAUAAAAGCCAUCUCAGUUCGGAUUGUGGGCUGCAACCCGCCCACAUGAAGUCGGAGUUGCUAGUAAUCGCGGAUCAGCCGCCGCGGUAAUACGUCCGGUCUGUA